rnacentral:misc_RNA from 1 species
AACGCAUCUUGCGCUCCUUGGUAUUCCGAGGAGCAUGCCUGUUUGAGUGUCGUGAAUACUCCUCAACUUCAAUCUUUUUGUUUGAAGUUGGAUUUGGACGUUGUUGUUGUCGUUUCAACGACUCGUCCUAAAUGCAUUAGCGAUCUGUCUUGAUCACACACAAUGUGAUAAAUUAUUAAGCAUUGUUAUAAUCAAGUCAAGACUGCUUCAAACCGUCCGAAAGACAAUACACAUGUCAUUUGACCUCAAAUCAGGUAGGACUACCCGCUGAACUUAA